UACGUAGGGAGCAAGCGUUGUCCGGAAUCAUUGGGCGUAAAGCGCGCGUAGGCGGCCCCAUAAGUCCGCUGUGAAAGUCAAAGGCUCAACCUUUGAAAGCCGGUGGAUACUGUGGGGCUAGAGUACGGAAGAGGCGAGUGGAAUUCCUGGUGUAGCGGUGGAAUGCGCAGAUAUCAGGAGGAACACCGAUGGCGAAGGCAGGUCUCGUGGGCCAUUACUGACACUGAGAAGCGAAAGCAUGGGGAGCGAACAGG
rnacentral:rRNA from 1 species